GGCUCAGAGGUAGAGCAUUAGUAUAGUAAACCUAAGGACCUGGGUUCAAUUCCCAG
rnacentral:tRNA from 1 species